rnacentral:misc_RNA from 1 species
GGAUGGAUCAUUAAUAAAAAACAAAAAUGAGUCGCAAGACUCAUUAAAAACUGUGAAUUGUGAGCUUUUGUGGAUGUGAGACUGCGUGUCAAACAUCUACCCCCUUUUUUUUAAAAAAACCUUAAUUUUUAUACUGAAUUAAUUACCGUAAAAUCGGUAAAAAAACAAAAAUAUAUACAACUUUCAACAACGGAUCUCUAGGCUCUCGCAACGAUGAAGAGCGCAGCGAAAUGCGAUAUGUAAUGUGAAUUGCAGGACUCAGUGAAUCAUCAAAUUCUUGAACGCAAAUGGCGGUGAUAAAUCAAAAGUUUAUUACCAUGUCUGUUUGAGUGUCAGAUAUCCAAUUCUAUCUUUUUUGAUAGGUUUUGAUGUUGAAAUACUUGAUGUUUUUCUCCAUUGAAGUAUAGACUUUUGCUUAUUAUAAAAAAGAACAAGCAAGUAUUUUACUGCUUGAUGCAUUUCAAUGUAUCUAAAAAGUAUUUACAAACUUAGUUUUUUAUAUCUCUUAUGACCUCAAAUUAGGCAAGAACACCCGCUGAACUUAAGCAUAUUAAUAAGCGGAGGAAAAGAAACUAACAAGGAUUCCCCUAGUAGCGGCGAGCGAAGAGGGAGAUAGCUCAAAUUUUAAAAUCUGAUGUCUUUGACAUCCGAAUUGUAGUUUAUAGAGGCACUCUCUAGAUGAUGCUUAAUUUAAAUCCCUUGGAACAGGGUAUCAUGGAGGGUGAUAAUCCCGUAAAUGAUUAAUGAUACAUCAUCUUUUAUGUAGUGUUCUCGACGAGUCGAGUUGUUUGGGAAUGCAGCUCAAAAUGGGUGGUAAAUUUCAUCUAAAGCUAAAUAUUGGCGAGAGACCGAUAGCGAACAAGUACCGUGAGGGAAAGAUGAAAAGAACUCUGAAGAGAGGGUUAAAAGUACGUGAAAUUGUUGAAAGGGAAGCAAUUAAAAUUAGUGUUAAUGGUAAUGUAUCAAGGGAAAAAGUAGGGUAAUUAUAUGUUUUUGACUGUUAAAGCAAGAGCAUGUUUUUUUCUUUAUUUUUUUUUCUGUAUUUUCAUUAUCAUUGAUCAGUAUCAGUUAGAUUGAGAAAAGCAUGGUAGAUAUUAGGGAUGUUUCUCAGGAAACAACACGGAUAUUUACAGUUGAUUUUUAAUCUUACUGAGGAGGAAAACCCUUAUCCACAAUAUGCGCUAGCGAAGAAGUAGGUUGAUUUGAAUAGAUAUCUGAAUGGAGAACCAAGUUGUCCUGAGGGUAUUUGUUUUCAUUACUUCUUACUUUCUUUCAGCAUAUUAAAAGAUACUGAUAAAAUGAUUUUAAUCGACCCGUCUUGAAACACGGACCAAGGAGUCUAACACCAGUGCGAGUGUAAUAGUGAUUAAACUAUUAACGCAUAAUGAAAGUGAAACUUUUAGCUAGAAGGGAUUUAAUAAUCAAACGAUUAUUUUUGCACCUCCAGCCGAUCUGGAUAUUUUUUUGAAAGCAUCGAGCUCGAGCAUUGUUGUUAGGACCCGAAAGCGGUUGAACUAUGCCUGAAUAGGAUGAAGUCGAGGGAAACCUCGAUGGAGGUCCGUAGCGAUACUGACGUGCAAAUCGUUCGUCAAAUUUGGGUAUAGGGGCGAAAGACUAAUCGAAAUUGCUAGUAGCUGGUUUCCGC